rnacentral:rRNA from 1 species
AUUGAACGCUGGCGGCAUGCUUUACACAUGCAAGUCGAACGGUAACAGGCCUUCGGGUGCUGACGAGUGGCGAACGGGUGAGUAAUGCAUCGGAACGUGCCCAGAGGUGGGGGAUAACGCAGCGAAAGCUGUGCUAAUACCUCAUGUGAUCUGAGGAUGAAAGCGGGGGACCAGGCAGCAAUGUUUGGCCUCGCGCCUUUGGAGCGGCCGAUGUCAGAUUAGGUAGUUGGUGGGGUAAAGGCCUACCAAGCCGACGAUCUGUAGCUGGUCUGAGAGGACGAACAGCCACACUGGGACUGAGACACGGCCCAGACUCCUACGGGAGGCAGCAGUGGGGAAUUUUGGACAAAGGGCGUAAGCCUGAUCCAGCAAUGCCGCGUGCGGGAAGAAGGCCUUCGGGUUGUAAACCGCUUUUGUACGGAACGAAAAGGCUCUGGCUAAUACCUGGGGCUGAUGACGGUACCGUAAGAAUAAGCACCGGCUAACUACGUG